ACUUUCAGCAUCGCGAAUAACUCGCCGGGUGACUUGUUCAUCCCUUGCAUGUUAUAUUUCAAUACAAAUCCCUUGUAGCUUGGUGGCAGUGAUUGAAGAAUUCUGUCAGUGAUAGUUUCUUGCGGGAGUUCAAUCCCCAGCUCAGCUAGACGGUUUGAGUACCCAUAUAUUUUGAGCACAUGUUCACUGAGAGACGAAUUCUCCUCCAUCUUGCAAGCAUAGAAUUUAUCGGAGGUCUCAUACCUCUCGAUCCGGGUGUUCUUCUGAAAGAUAAACUUCAACUCCUGGAAUAUCUCAUAUGCUCAUGACCCUCAAAGCAACGUUGAAGUCCUGGCUCUAAGCCAUACAAGAUUGCACAUUGAACUACUGAGUAGUCCUCCUUACGUGUUAACCAGGUGUUCUUAACAUCUUUGUCAGCCGUAGUGGGUGGUUCAUCUCCUACCGCAGCAUUAAGGACAUAAUCCUUCUUC
rnacentral:lncRNA from 1 species